CUAACCGCAAGGAGGACGCCGCCGAAGGUAAAACUGGUGAUUGGGGUGAAGUCGUAACAAGGUAGCCGUAGGAGAACCUGCGGCUGGAUCACCUCCUUU
rnacentral:rRNA from 1 species